AUUGAACGCUGGCGGCAGGCCUAACACAUGCAAGUCGAGCGGAUGAGUGGAGCUUGCUCCAUGAUUCAGCGGCGGACGGGUGAGUAAUGCCUAGGAAUCUGCCUGGUAGUGGGGGACAACGUUUCGAAAGGAACGCUAAUACCGCAUACGUCCUACGGGAGAAAGCAGGGGACCUUCGGGCCUUGCGCUAUCAGAUGAGCCUAGGUCGGAUUAGCUAGUAGGUGAGGUAAUGGCUCACCUAGGCGACGAUCCGUAACUGGUCUGAGAGGAUGAUCAGUCACACUGGAACUGAGACACGGUCCAGACUCCUACGGGAGGCAGCAGUGGGGAAUAUUGGACAAUGGGCGAAAGCCUGAUCCAGCCAUGCCGCGUGUGUGAAGAAGGUCUUCGGAUUGUAAAGCACUUUAAGUUGGGAGGAAGGGCAGUAACCUAAUACGUUGCUACUUUGACGUUACCGACAGAAUAAGCACCGGCUAACUUCGUG
rnacentral:rRNA from 1 species